AGAGAAAAAAAUGGUGAAAGCGCGUUGUAUCGUCAAUCCUCUGCUGGUCUCCUCGAUUUCGCCCUCUCUCGUUUCCUCCCCCGAGUGGCGGCUAGGGUUACCGCAGUCGCCGCCCAAUCCCUGCUCCUAGCUUCGGCCCCCACACACAUCUCCUACUUCUCUCCCUCUCUCCCUCGCCUCCAGGCACGCACAGGCAACCGCUCAAGGAGAGCAACAACGACUGGAUGCGGCCGCCGGAGGAGCAGCGGUGGCCGACGGGCUCGUGGCAGCAACGACUGCAGAGAGCUGCGGCACCGAACUGCGCGGCUCCGAUUCUGCAUCGACGCCUCCUUCCUCCGUCGCCUAGAUAUAAGGCGGUUCUCUCCUAGCCAACCUCCAGCCAUGCCUCUUCCUCUCCUCUUUGACCGGCUCUCUCCUCCUCUGGAGAAGUAGCACAUGGCGGAGCUGCAUCUGAUCCGCUGCCGACGGCGCACGUCUCAGCCCCAAGCCCGGGCUGUUUGAAGCAAUUGCUAUUAAGGUCACCGUCAGACUAUCAGAUCUCUAGGAGGUGGUGUCGGGUGGUGAUGUCAGGUGGGCAAGGCCAGCUGCUGAUGUGAAGAAGACGAACACGCAGGAGCGGGUCAAGCCACUUACUGAUCCCUACAUCUCAUUAUACUCUGCUCACAAGGCGUUCGACAGAUUGCAUCGUAUGUUCUUUUUUCACCAUUUUCUCAUAAUAUCAAUUGGAGUCUGACAUUUUCCCUUCAUAUAUAUGGUGACUGAUACAAGGGCAUGCUAAUUAUUUUUUACUUAUUUUGAUUUGACGGUCUUGUCUAAUUGCUUGAUGGAGUGAUAGUGUCAUUUCUCUGUUUCUCAUAUCAAUUUAUCCAGUUUGAUUUGCGAUCAGAAAAUAGAACCACUGGGAUUAGAUUGUGUACGUGGUUUUGACUUCAGGCCUUUAUCCUGUAGAGAUCAGAUAGGGAACCAGGAAUUUUCAAUAAUCUUCUUCUCUACUAAUACUCCUACGAAUCAGUGAUGAAGUUUGUAGGUGUGAUAACAUAAUGAAACUAUCUGAUAGUAACAGGAGGUGUUUAGCAGGAACCACAUCAGCAGGAACCAUCGCAGUGACCUUGUUGCAGUAGUUUCUUAGGUAUGCCGUAUAGGUUUAGUUAAGGUAUAAUCAGCCUGGUCAUCAAACGGCUCAAGUUCUUGGUUCAGUGAGUGACCUGUUCGACCAGGGAUUACUUCUCAGUACUGGCGGUUUAAAUUUGAAAGGCCGCUAGACCCUCGUAAGUAUUUUUAUGGUACAUAUUUUCAUCUCAAGUACAGUCAGGGGUAAUCGAAUACGGAGUACAUACUGCCAAUAAGCAAAAUCCACCAGCAAUAGGUCAUUCAGGAUUAGGUUUGGUACUUUAUAGCUGAAUGUGUGAUGUGCUUAGAAAAGAUUGCAACACACCAUACUCUAGGGAGGCACUUCAGAUUAGUGGUACAUAUUUAUUGUACUCUUAGUGUUAUUAUUUUUGAAUCAUUUACCUGCCUCUUAUCUUUCUACAUAGAGUAUGGUGAUGUACAGAGCUCUUGAUACAUUUCAAUAAAUAUUUUACUAGAUACAUUGCCGUAGGCGCUAAAAUACUAUAGCUAGACAUGGAUUGGACAGGAAUUCUGCAGCAUUUGCUUCAAUGUCUUUGCAGAUCCUGGGUAGCGUGGAUUCAGUUCAUGAUAAUACAUUUGUCCGCACCCAGACUGAAACUAAUGUUAAGGAGUUUGUGACACUAUGUCAAAUAACACGUAAGAGUAAUUAUUGGCAUUCGAUAUUAAAUCUAUCUCAUUUAUUUCUUUGCAUACUUUUGAAUUGUGUUUUCUCUUAAAGGAAACAGUCUUUUGCUGGAUGACUAAUUUAUGUAUUCCUGUUGACCAGAAUUUUGUUGGCCUUUCUAUUUCUGAUGGGUACAUUGCUAACGAGAUUUUUUUUUAUGUUUGAUGAACCUCCUAAAGCUAAAAGAAAAGAAAAAGUUGUUCAUAGUGAAGAGAUUUGAUUGGUUGCUUCUGUAUAUAAACAUGCGGGAUACAGUUCUACCAAGAAUCAAGCUUUAGCUCAAGGAUAUGGUGUGUAUUGUGCACUCCUAGCUUAAGAAUAUACAAAGCAUUCGGAACUACCAUUCCCUACUAAAAAAUGAAAAUUUAAACUAUCACGACAUUUAUGCGUUGUGGUGAUGUGCAUGUGAUUUUGAUUUGCAUAUUAGAUAGUUGGGCUUUUCUUACAUCUUGAUAUUUGGUGUGUUGUUGUGGCCACGAAGAAGAUGCAGUAGCAUGCUGGGAGCGAUAAGUCGUGUGUGUGGCACACACUGGAUUUUGCCGACUAUGAAUUUAAGGAGAUGUUCGCCAUCCGCUUUGGAUCUGGGAGAGUGAGCAUUGAGUACCCUAUAAUUUGUGCAGGUUUCAUGUUUUCAUUUGCUGUGAACAUGAUAUCAUCCAUGGCUAUGAGUUAUAAUAAUUCUUGAAAAUGUUGAACUGAAUAGCUAUUUUUUUACUUCUCAGUUUUAAUGAAGGACAGCUGGAGCUUAUUCAUUUUGAAUCGUUGACGCAUGACUUGCUUGAGACAAACCAAUCUGACGAGAUCUGCAAAUGGAUUUGAAGGAAAGAUUUAGAAGGUGAAGGAGCUGAUGAAGAGCUACAUUCUCACUGUCUUAAUCAUUUUUUUCAUGUACAAUGCAAUACAUGUAUAAGUUUGGUGCUUUGUGCUGACAAGAAUUUUCUGAUUGGCAUCAUUUGUAGUAACUGUGAUGAUCCAGGACGCUCUCAAGAUUACAAGUUCAGUAGUGGCAACCUGGACUUGUGUAAGAAUAAACUGAAUGAUGUUUCAUUCUGAAGAGAUUCCUUACUAUCGACUUGAAGCUUGCAUAGUUACGUCGUGGGAUUAUGAAUAAGAUAGUGUUAAUCAUAUUUUGACUUAAAAUGUAAAUUACAGAUUGAUCCUUUUACUAAAGAGAACAAGUCAAAGAUAGCAGGUGCAGUUGCAGGGCAACAGGGUAGAAGUAGGCAACAAGCAGUGAGCUGGAAUUGUUUGUUUGCUGCUCCUAUCUCUAACAUGCACUGAUGCACCACAAAUAUAAUAAGUUGUUGAACGAAAGAGGACCAUCGACCAUAAACAACUGCACAACCAAGCAAGCGCGCAAAGCACCGCACAGGAGGCGCGCCAAGGGCGUGCCCCAACCACUAGUGUUCAACAUAUCCCGCAUGAAAUCUUCAUGCCCAUUAAUUUACUCUAGUAAAUUUAUUUUCUAGAAUCGUCAACAUAUAGCAAUCAUCAAAUUGCCUAAUCAAAUAUGUUGAUACACUAGUGUGCUUUAUGAUAUAGUAAUAUACAUGAAAUUAAUGUAAAAACACAUACAUACAAGAACUGCAUAGCCAAAAGCUAAAGCAGAAAAGGAAAACUUAAAAAAAUAGUUCUGGGCCGAAUCAGCACAAUCGAAACCAGUUCCUUUUUUUCUUUCUCUAGAUCGAGAUGGGUCUUUGGCCGGUCCAGAGGACCGCACCGACCCAGAUCGGAUAAGGAAGAGGCUCUUCUAAAAAAAAAAGGAUAAGGAAGAGGCGACGGGACGGCUUCCGUCCACAUUGACCAAACGGCGGCCUCGGCCGCCUCGGCCGCCGUCGUCGCCUCAACAGCGAGGGACAGAGGGCCCCGACGCGCCGUCCUCCUCCUCUGAAGGAGAAUUUACUCCUGCCGCAGCACAAGCCAGCAUGUCUCUUGUCUCGACGACGCGCCAUUGCAUGCUGAUGCCGAUGCCAUGCGCCGUCGCGCCGGUCGACGCCCGUUGGCUGCUGCCGAAGCCGCGCCUCACCGGCCCCAAGCGGUCGCGGCCAAGGGCCACCGCACAGGCAAGGCGAUGCUGCGCACACUAUGUAUAUGGUGCCGCCAGCGGUCGGGAGGACCAGUGCGCCGCGGUCAAGGUCGCCGAGAGAUGUGCUGCGUCGUCGCGUACCGGCAGCCGCGCGCCACCGUCAACACGGCUUCCACACCGAUCCCAGGCCUCGCACCGAGCAGUCGGACGCGUGGGUGAGCAACACCGUUGCCCCUCCGCCAACCAUUGCAGUGACGUCGUGCCGUGCCAUGACCUGCCUAUGUGAUGCGUGUUGUAGCCAGAGCCCGGAGUUGCUUUUCUCGUCGUUCGUUGCCUGGUGUAGAGGUCACGCUGCAGGGCGUCUCACCGUUACGUCGCCGCACGAUGUCGAUGCCUCGUCGUGCUCACGUUGCAAGCCGGUGGUGUGUCUCCGCUGACCCGCCUUCAAAUUGAACGACCCCGUUGCGCCUCCUUGGAGCGUCGCUCCGCCACUCCGCCACGCCUUGCCAUAGUGGCCCAUUCUCAGCGGAGAACGGAAGGGCUGAUAACGUCGUGUUAAUAGUAAAAGUACGAGACAGGAUAUGAACCAAGUGUGACCUUUAUUGAUGAAUGAUAACUGCUAUUUAUACAA